GUCUACAGCCAUGCCACCCUGAACAAACAAACCCGAUCUCGUCUGAUCUCGGAAGCUAAGCAAGGUUGGGCCUGGUUAGACUUGGAUGGGAGACCACCCAGGAAGACCAGGUGCUGUAGGCA
rnacentral:rRNA from 1 species